CGCCUGCAUGAAGCCGGAAUCGCUAGUCAUCGCGGAUCAGCACGCCGCGGUGAAUACGUUCCCGGGCCUUGUACCCACCGCCCGUCACACCACGAGAGUUUGUAACACCCGAAGUCGGUGAGGUAACCUGUUUGGAGCCAGCCGCCUAAGGUGGGAUAGAUGAUUGGGGUGAAGUCGUAGCAAGGUAGCCGGAUCGGUAGGUGCGGCUGGAUGCCCUCCUUUCGAAGGAA
rnacentral:rRNA from 1 species